rnacentral:lncRNA from 1 species
CCGAAAGCCUAGAUCUUGCUUGAUUAAUGUAGCCUUUGAGAUUCUCAGCUUCUUGGCAGUGUGUCCCUAAAGAUUCUCUUUCUUCUCCAAGAUACAGAGGAGUAAACAGGUAACUGAAGUAACACAUUCUCAAGAAGUCAAGCUCCAAGGGGCUGCUGGGUGUAAAUAUAGCUGUUCUGCUCUGCCGUGCGGCUGAGGACUGCAGAGCUGGAUCGCGAUCAUAGACGCGUGCGUGCUUCUGGUGCCAACGGACAACGGGUGGUGGCCCCUGUCUGCCUAAUGCCUGGGAUGAUGUUACUGAACACGGGAUUGCACGUUUCCAUGCAAGGACUACGGAGUGCCCGCAGACCUGCCAGGCUGUCGGUAAUGAACCCAGGACUGAGUUGUCUGCUGAGAAUGAUUAGGGCUGUCCUUACGGCUGCCCGAGAGACUCGGACCACUGUCAAAUUCUGGAAAAACUUAAAUGAAUAUGAUCCAUCUCAGUGUUGACAAAACAUCGGGUCAGUGGCCAGGAUACUGAGCUAGACCUUUGCUUCAUCUGUGGCAUGUGGUUGGGCUGUUGGACACAAAAAUCCAGUGCAGGAUCUGCUCUACAGGGAUGAAGAAGAUAUUCUUGAUGUGUUAAAGGUCUAAGGAGGGAGGAAUUAAGCCAUGCUGGUUGCUGCUGGGACUCUCAUAGAAAUAAAAGUUAAACAGAAAAGUCUCCCUAAGAUUCG